GUUCCUGUAGUUAAAGUCCUAUAACGGCAGCUUUUCAGGCUGCGGGUCCUGGAGAGAGGCCAGGUAGGAAUG
rnacentral:tRNA from 1 species